rnacentral:misc_RNA from 1 species
GAAAUGUGUAAUGCUUCUAGGUCUAGGAAGGUAUCUAACUACUUUAGGUAAUUUCAAUCCACUUACCCUGAGGUAGUUGGAUUUAUUAACCUCCCUCCUAUUAAGUUUUCUGUGGUAUUGAGGAAAUUGACCAGCCAAAGGAAAGUUUCCUUUGACUUCUUUAUUUUAGUGAACCAAUUACAAUGAGUUUGUUACUUCCCAGGAAGUUCAAGUUCCUAAGCCUACUUUCAAGUUACCUAAAUAUCUAUUCUUAUGUAUGAUUUGAUUACACAAGGCACCAUAUGAUUUGCAUGUGUGGGUAACUUGAUAUUGUAGGCACUGCCUCUUUCUCCCCAAAAUCCUAUGUGUUGCAAUAGAUAGAAAGACAGCAAAAGUUUCACUUGAAAAAAGUAGGGUACACGUCAGUGGUGGAGCCAAAAUUUUUGGUUAGUGGGGGCAAAAAUUUUAUCUUCAUGUAUUUAUAAAAUUUUUAAAUAAAAAUAUUUUUUAUUUACAAAAUAUUGU